rnacentral:rRNA from 1 species
AUGAACGCUGGCGGCGUGCUUAACACUUGCAAGUCGAACGAAGCACUUUAUUUGAUUUCCUUCGGGACUGAUUAUUUUGUGACUGAGUGGCGGACGGGUGAGUAACGCGUGGGUAACCUGCCUUGUACAGGGGGAUAACAGUUGGAAACGGCUGCUAAUACCGCAUAAGCGCACAGCAUCGCAUGAUGCAGUGUGAAAAACUCCGGUGGUAUAAGAUGGACCCGCGUUGGAUUAGCUAGUUGGUGAGGUAACGGCCCACCAAGGCGACGAUCCAUAGCCGACCUGAGAGGGUGACCGGCCACAUUGGGACUGAGACACGGCCCAAACUCCUACGGGAGGCAGCAGUGGGGAAUAUUGCACAAUGGGCGAAAGCCUGAUGCAGCGACGCCGCGUGAGCGAAGAAGUAUUUCGGUAUGUAAAGCUCUAUCAGCAGGGAAGAUAAUGACGGUACCUGACUAAGAAGCACCGGCUAAAUACGUG